AAUAAAGCUUACAAAAUGAAGGUCACGUGCGCAUUGCUCCUAGUGUGUCUUGUUGGAUAUAUAUAUGCCCAAGAAACAAUUCCUGCUCCAGAGCUGAGAGAUUAUGAAAUUACGUUCAACGUGAAUCUGAAUUAUAAUAGACAUAAAGCGGGAAGUAUAUUCAGAGCGCUGAUAGGUAACUCCCAGGAUCAAGAUACUUGUAAUAGCUACCUCAUCUGUGAGGAUCCAAACAACGAUUGCGAUUCAUGUUCUAUCCCUUAGGAAGACAAAUAAUGCCCGACCGAUCUGACCCUCUUUGACCACGGACACGACUACUGAUUCUGAUUAGAUCGAUUAUGCCGAGUGACACCAUUUACCCAUUUGAUAUAUUUACUACAAAAGUCUUUGCAAUUCUUCGUUAUAUUUAUCGUAGUUUAAUUAAUAAAUAAAGCUGAUUAUCGAAGAACAAA